rnacentral:misc_RNA from 1 species
CUGGUGAAUUUUGUAUGUUUGUACGGCCACAAUCCAGUUAUAAGUAAAUGAAUCGUAGUAUAUCUAUAAUAACCUUUCUUAAUAUCGUCCUUCUGCGACGGUUCAAGUACAUUUAACUCUGAAGUUACCAUCCUACUCGUUCUCUCCCCUCUGUUUAUUUUUAAGUUGAAAAUUGUCAGUAUUCUCUCGCUAUAAUUUCUUUGAUAAUUCUCCCUCACGAAGGGGUGAGAAUGAUUGACGGACACCGUAAUUUAAGUACGAUCGAUAAACAAAGGGCAAGAAAUGCUGGUGCCGUUGAUAAGGAAGGGGAUGUUCUUCUCCAUUCGACGAGAAGAACUGGAAGGGUACACAUACAUUUUCAGCGAGAGUAUAACGUUUUAGCACUUUAGUAGAGAUGCAAGUUACAAUAGAAAAAUUGUUGCUAUGUGCGAUUAAUUUUCAUUUACUUUGUAACAUAAUAAGUUAACUAAAUGUGUAAUAUGCAGUGGGAUUAAAUUUAGCCAAUGAAUUUUACGAAAAUAGGAUAAGAAAAGACCAGAAGUGAAAAAAAAUUGUAUUACUAUUAAAGUCAUAUUAAUAUUCCGCGGUU